rnacentral:rRNA from 1 species
CACGUAGGCACCAAGCGUUGUCCGGAUUUAUUGGGCGUAAAGAGCUCGUAGGCGGUUCAGUUAGUCGGGUGUGAAAACUCUGGGCUCAACCCAGAGAGGCCACCCGAUACUGCUGAACUUGAGUACGGUAGGGGAGCGGGGAAUUCCUGGUGUAGCGGUGAAAUGCGCAGAUAUCAGGAGGAACACCGGUGGCGAAGGCGCCGCUCUGGGCCGAAACUGACGCUGAGGAGCGAAAGCGUGGGUAGCAAACAGG